UGGCGGACGGGUGAGUAAUGUCUGGGAAACUGCCCGAUGGAGGGGGAUAACUACUGGAAACGGUAGCUAAUACCGCAUAACGCGCAAGACCAAAGAGGGGGACCUUCGGGCCUCUUGCCAUCGGAUGUGCCCAGAUGGGAUUAGCUAGUAGGUGGGGUAACGGCUCACCUAGGCGACGAUCCCUAGCUGGUCUGAGAGGAUGACCAGCCACACUGGAACUGAGACACGGUCCAG
rnacentral:rRNA from 1 species